UCUGUCGCAAGAGUUUCAUCGGAUUAGCUGGCUUUUAACCGCAUCCUACCGCUCCACGUCGGGGAUUGGUUAUUCGUUGAAACUUACUUCGCAUCUAACAUGCAACUACAGGCCUUUCGGCUAUCCGCGACCUGCCGACCCCUCCGGUAGUUUAGAGCUCAGCUGAGAUGCCUGAUCCAGCAAGAACCAGGCCAAAGGGUGUAAUUGUGUGGGUAAACAACUACAAAAGUGUGAUUGUAAUUUCUUGAACGUGUAAAGUCCGGGUUAUACAUACAAAAAUUAAGGUUAAUGAAUGUUCCCAGCAAGUCAUGGGUACUGAAACUCCAACACAUUCAAAGAAAUUUUAACAACACCACUACAUACACACAUACACAACAAAGGGUAAAAUGUGCAUAAACAUUUAACUCAACUCUUCUCUCAUACAGCACCCUGAAUGAUAGAAAGAAACAACCAAAGUUCUCGUGUUUGAACAAGUUUUGUUUUGAGCUAUAUCAUGGCUGCUUGUGAAGUUUUAUUUUGCGUGUUUUAUUUAAUUCAGUGAUCUGCAGCCAAAUUAAAGUAUAAAUUAUUGAAGCACGCAUUUUUAAAUAAGUAAAACGUAAAAUAAAAGUUUUCUAAGGCCAAAAUAUGGAAUUGAAGAGGGUGAUACAGUAAUACUUCAUUGCACUAUCAAUUCGAAGCACGCAAUAGAAGCCAACAAUGGUCAACAUCAAUGGCGAAACCAUUGAAUACAUAUUUCAAACCUCAUAUGACACGUUAAAGGUACGCAAACUUAUUGGUGUCACUUAUUGUAGCAGCGUAGAACUUUCGAAGCGAUGGAAUAUGUGCUGCAAGCAAAUCCAAAACUAUGGACGCAAACGCUGCUACAUGGAACACAAAUCAUUCACACACCAGAUAUUACGUUCAAUGUCACUUUUUUGCGUGCAAUUAAACCUUUUGGUCAACACAAGCACGAGAAUUGGAACGACAUGGUUUAGGUGCUUUUGAAACCGUUUAUUUUCACGACGUGUGUCAAAUGGGUUUUGCCAAUGAGCUAGAGGGCAAAGCAGUUUCAGUAUCUUUGAGCUUACCGGCACUUGGCCGUGCUAUUAGCAGCUAAAACACAGAAAUUAAAGGGAGGACUUUUUUGAUUCAUUUUCACCUUGUAUUGAGGAAUCAUAACGUUGUUGUAUCGCUUUACAAGGACAUAAAUUCACCGAAAUUAGUUCAAUGGAAAUACUACAGCAAGAGCAUGGAUGUUAAGACUUGAACGGUGCCGUGUUAGAUUUAGAAUUCCUGAAACAUAAGAAACCCUCCUCCCAGAUGAAUCUAGUACUAGUGAAAUUAAUGAAAGAACAGAUCUUAUAAAAACUCCGAAAGAAACCAAAAGAGUCCUCACAUAAUGUGCGCAGCUUACAGUUCCAGACCGCACGGGGUAUUUGACAUUUUCCACUCUUCCUCCAGCCUUUGUCC